rnacentral:rRNA from 1 species
ACUGUGCUAAGGUAGCAUAAUCAUUUGUUAUCUAAUUAAUAACUGGAAUAAAAGGAUCGACAAGAAUUUUACUCUCUUCUCUUUUUUAAAAAAAUUUAUUUUUAAGUAAAAAAGCUUAAAAAUUUUAGAAAGACGACAAGACCCUAGAACCUUAAGUCUUAUUUUACUGGGAAGGUAAAAAUUUAUUUCAAUUUAUAUUUAAACAUAGUGAGUGAAUUUUUUUUAGCUUUUCUUAAAUUUAAAAAAGGUACUCUAGGGAUAACAGCAAAAUUUUUUUUUAGAGCUCUCAUCGACAAAAAAGAUUUUGACCUCGAUGUUGAAUUAUUAUUACUUUUAGAAGCAAAAUUCUUUUAAGGUGGUCUGUUCGACCAAUAAUCUAAUACGUGAUCUGAG